CGGGGUGAGUAACGCGUGAGGAACCUGCCUCAAAGAGGGGGACAACAGUUGGAAACGACUGCUAAUACCGCAUAAGCCCACGGCUCGGCAUCGAGCAGAGGGAAAAGGAGCAAUCCGCUUUGAGAUGGCCUCGCGUCCGAUUAGCUAGUUGGUGAGGUAAUGGCCCACCAAGGCGACGAUCGGUAGCCGGACUGAGAGGUUGAACGGCCACAUUGGGACCGAGACACGGCCCAG
rnacentral:rRNA from 1 species